rnacentral:rRNA from 1 species
CGGACGGGUGAGUAACGCGUGAGGAACCUGCCUUGGAGAGGGGAAUAACACUCCGAAAGGAGUGCUAAUACCGCAUAAUGCAGUUGGGUCGCAUGGCUCUGACUGUCAAAGAUUUAUCGCUCUGAGAUGGCCUCGCGUCUGAUUAGCUAGUAGGCGGGGUAACGGCCCACCUAGGCGACGAUCAGUAGCCGGACUGAGAGGUUGACCGGCCACAUUGGGACUGAGACACGGCCCAGACUCCUACGGGAGGCAGCAGUGGGGAAUAUUGGGCAAUGGGCGCAAGCCUGACCCAGCAACGCCGCGUGAAGGAAGAAGGCUUUCGGGUUGUAAACUUCUUUUGUCGGGGACGAAACAAAUGACGGUACCUGACGAAUAAGCCAUGGCUAACUACGUGCCAGCAGCCGCGGUAAUACGUAGGUGGCAAGCGUUAUCCGGAUUUACUGGGUGUAAAGGGCGUGUAGGCGGGAUUGCAAGUCAGAUGUGAAAACUGGGGGCUCAACCUCCAGCCUGCAUUUGAAACUGU